AUAARGAGUUUURUUUGWGUGGUUCAGGAASGAACGCUGGCGGCGUGCCUUAAUACAUGCCAAGUCGAGCGGACAGAAGGGAGCUUGCUCCCGGAUGUUAAGCGGCGGACGGGUGAGUAACACGUGGGUAACCUGCCUGUAAGACUGGGAUAACUCCGGGAAACCGGAGCUAAUACCGGAUAGUUCCUUGAACCGCAUGGUUCAAGGAUGAAAGACGGUUUCGGCUGUCACUUACAGAUGGACCCGCGGCGCAUUAGCUAGUUGGUGAGGUAACGGCUCACCAGGCGACGAUGCGUAGCCGACCUGAGAGGGUGAUCGGCCACACUGGGACUGAGACACGCCCAGACUCCUACGGGAGGCAGCAGUAGGGAAUCUUCCGCAAUGGACGAAAGUCUGACGGAGCAACGCCGCGUGAGUGAUGAAGGUUUUCGGAUCGUAAAGCUCUGUUGUUAGGGAAGAACAAGUGCAAGAGUAACUGCUUGCACCUUGACGGUACCUAACCAGAAAGCCCGGCUAACUACGUGCCAGCAGCCGCGGUAAUACGUAGGUGGCAAGCGUUGUCCGGAAUUAUUGGGCGUAAAGGGCUCGCAGGCGGUUUCUUAAGUCUGAUGUGAAAGCCCCCGGCUCAACCGGGGAGGGUCAUUGGAAACUGGGAAACUUGAGUGCAGAAGAGGAGAGUGGAAUUCCACGUGUAGCGGUGAAAUGCGUAGAGAUGUGGAGGAACACCAGUGGCGAAGGCGACUCUCUGGUCUGUAACUGACGCUGAGGAGCGAAAGCGUGGGGAGCGAACAGGAUUAGAUACCCUGGUAGUCCACGCCGUAAACGAUGAGUGCUAAGUGUUAGGGGGUUUCCGCCCCUUAGUGCUGCAGCUAACGCAUUAAGCACUCCGCCUGGGA
rnacentral:rRNA from 1 species